rnacentral:lncRNA from 10 species
CUUCCCCACCAACAUCCCAGGGCCCGAUUUUUAUGGUAAUUAUGUCCUGCUUGUCUCUAUUAUUUUGUCAGCUAAGUAUCCCUAAACAAUAUGGUCUGGUUUUUUGUUUGUUUUUGUUUGUUUGUUUUUUUCAGACGGAGUUUCACUCUGUCACCCAGGCUGGAGUGCAGUGGCAUGAUCUCGGCUCACUGCCACCUUGGCCUCCUGGGUUCAAGGAAUUCUCAGGCCUCAGCCUCAUGAGUAGCUGAGAUUACAGGCGCUGUCCACUGCACCUGGCUAAUUUUUGUAUUUUUAGUAGAGACGGGGUUUUGCCAUGUUGACCAGGCUGGUCUUGAACUCCUGACCUCAGGCGAUCCGCCCGCCUUGAACUCCCAAAGUGCUGGGAUUACAGGUGUGAGCCACCGUGCCCGGCACCUAAACAACAUAGUUUUGAUAUAGACAAGAAGACAAGAAAAUGAUUUGAGGACAGCUUCAAUCGCGGUGUGAAGAAGAAAGCAACAAAACGACCACUGAAAACAAUGCCGGUGGCAAAACAUCCAAAGAAAGGGUCCCAAGUG